ACGUGACGCGUGUUAACCCAGAUUUUAGCAUAUGCCUUGAAGUUGCACCGUUGUCGGUUAACGGUUUCUUCUUUCGUAAAUCUUCUUGUCUUUUUAACAUAUUUGAAUGCCAUGAAGCAUUCACAUUUGAUGGGUUAGUAACAAGUCUUUUGGUCGUUGGUUUUUCUGAUUUUUCCUCAAAUGGCUUAUUUGAGUGCAUGCUUUUACUUGAUGGUAUAGCAUCUGGUUCAGAACGAGGUUUAUCGGAAAUAGUAUGUUCCAUAUCCCUAAUGUUAGAUGAAUUGGCUGAUGUGACAGUUUUGGUCUGACGACUUGGAAAUUCGUUGUUUGAUAACUCUCGUUCUUUACCAUAGAACUUUUUGAAGCGAUGAGUUUCGUUUUCAGAAGAGCGGCUUUCCAUAUUUGAAGCAUUUGCUGCUCCAUUUUUUGCUUUUCGCUUUUCAGUUUGCUCAAGUUCGCGUUGAGAGGCUGUGGCCACACGAAUUGCAAUCGGACGUGAAUGCGGAGCAAAGUUGUGAUCAGAAUUUUGACGAGAAUCAUCAUGCAAUGGUUCAGAUAACUUGUGCAGAGAUUUUUCAAUAAAUUCCUUCUUGGAAGGCGGCAAAGAAGAGUCCGUAUUUUCGUUUGCAUCCGAUUUCAAAGCGUUUGAGCUUGGUCUAGAAUUUGAAGAAUUAAAAUCAUUUGACGACUUUCUGGUUGAAAGCCUUGUGAAUGUGCUUAUCAGGGGGAUCUUAGGCGCUUGAGUGAUUACAGCAUGACUUUUUGCAGGGCUUAAGGAAGACUCGUCGUUUUUAUUAUUCAGCUUCAUUUUAGCAAGGUGCAAAUCCUUAGCUGCAGAGUUUUUAGCAGCAUCUAAAACUGCAUUAAUCGGUUUCUUCGUGGGCGGAGUCGAAGGAAUUAAUCUUUUAUUAGAACUUACUUCUUGUAUUUUCUGCCUUAAUCGUUCGGCACGAUCAUAAGUUUUCAGUUCAUAGUGGUUUUCAUUGGAGGCAGUUAGCUCGUUCAAUUUAGCAAUAGAAUCGGGAAUUUUGGCUUCAAAAAAGUCAAACUCUUGACUUUUGGCAUCACUUCCAGGUUGAGAAGAUACAGGUAGUCUCUCUUCAUUGGAUUUUAAUUUGGCCGUUAAUGCCUCAGCUUCUACUGCGUUGGAUUUAUCGAAGGAAGUAAUUUCGGGAGGGGAUUCAAAAAUAGUUGGAUGAGGUUUAAGCAUUUCAUUUUCGACAGACCUUUUUCUUUCCUUGGAAGAAGAAGUAACAGUUUCAGAAGAGAAGGCGACUCCUGAACUUCUUUUACGAGUUUUGUAAGAAGUCGAUAACCUAGUAGACGACGUGAGCGAUUCCUUGGCUGAUAAAUCUGUCUUGGCGGGGAUGACUGAUGAAAGGAAUUUUCGAAAUUUAGAAGGACUAGAGGACACAUUGGUAUUUAACAAAGAAGAAGGAGCAUCAGAAGUAGUUGAAGGUAGUGCCUUGAU